UAACCUGUCCCAAACACUGAACACUCUACAACAUGUAUACUGUCCCCAAACACUGAACACUCUACAGCUCAGCAAGCUAUACCCGUCCCCAACACUGAAACUCUACACAGCUAUAACCUGUCCCAAACACUGAACACUCUACACAAGCUAGACCUGUCCCAAAACAAGAACCUCUAACAACAAGCUAUACCUGUCCCAACACUGAAACACUCUACACAAGCAUACGGUCCCCAAACACUGAAACACUCACACAAGCUAUACCUGUCCCAAACACUGAACACUCUAACAAGCAUAACCUUCCCAAACACUGAACACUCACACAGCUAUACCUGUCCCAAACACUGAAACAUCUACACAGCUAUACCUGUCCCAAACCUGAACUAACACUCUACACAAGCUAUACCUGUCCCAAACACUGAACACUCUACACAAGCUAUACCUGUCCCAAACACUGAACACUCUACACAAGCUAUACCUGUCCCAAACACUGAACACUCUACACAGCUAUACUGUCGCCAAACACUGAACCCUAGCUACACAGCUAUAACUGUCCCAAACACUGAACCUCUACACAGCUAUAACUGUCCCAACACUGAACACUCUACACAGCUAUACGGUCCCAACACUGAAACACUCUACACAGCUAUACCUGUCCCAAAACACCUGAACAACUCU
rnacentral:lncRNA from 1 species